UCUUCCUGGUGGUUCAUACAUUGCUCAGCUGAGAUGGAUUCCAGCGAGGAGGAUUCUGGGAGGUUUUUGUUUAUAUGGAUGUAUGUAUGCGUCCUCAGCUGAUCAGUUGUGUCUGACUCUUUGUGACCGAAUGGACUGAAGCCCCCAGGCUCCUCUGUCCAUGGGAUUUUCCAGAAGUUCACCAAGAAGAUCACCUACGAGGAGCUCGUGGAGGGCACGGGCGGCCUGGAGGAGGACACAGCCCUUCCCGAGGGUCUGCAGGGCUGGUGUGGGGGGCCCGCCGCAGGAGAGCCCAGCCUAGUGCCUCCGCCUGGAGAGCAGCCUCGGGGACCCCCAGGAAGCAAACUGAAGCGCAUGUAACCCGAAGCAAUGGCACCCCACUCCAGUACUC
ensembl:lncRNA